rnacentral:rRNA from 1 species
UACGGAGGGGACUAGCGUUGUUCGGAAUUACUGGGCGUAAAGCGCACGUAGGCGGAUUGUUUAGUCAGGGGUGAAAUCCCGAGGCUCAACCUCGGAACUGCCUUUGAUACUGGCAAUCUCGAGUCCGGAAGAGGUGAGUGGAAUUCCUAGUGUAGAGGUGAAAUUCGUAGAUAUUAGGAAGAACACCAGUGGCGAAGGCGGCUCACUGGUCCGGUACUGACGCUGAGGUGCGAAAGCGUGGGGAGCGAACAGG